GACGAACGCUGGCGGCGUGCCUAACACAUGCAAGUCGAGCGGAGCUAAUAGUAAUAUUAGUUUAGCGGCGGACGGGUGAGUAACGCGUGGGCAACCUGCCUUCAACUGGGGGAUAACACUGGGAAACUAGUGCUAAUACCGCAUAACAUCAUGAAGUGACAUCACUUUAUGAUCAAAGGAGCAAUCCGGUAGAAGAUGGGCCCGCGUCCGAUUAGCUAGUUGGUGAUGUAACGGACCACCAAGGCGACGAUCGGUAGCCGAACUGAGAGGUUGAUCGGCCACAUUGGGACUGAGACACGGCCCAGACACCUACGGGUGGCAG
rnacentral:rRNA from 1 species